UACGUAGGGGGCAAGCGUUGUCCGGAUUUAUUGGGCGUAAAAGGCUUGUAGGUGGCCACGCCAAGUCGGAUGUGAAAUCUCCCGGCUCAACUGGGAGGGGUCAUUCGAUACUGGUGGGCUCGAGGCCGGUAGGGGGAAGUGGAAUUCCCGGUGUAGUGGUGGAAUGCGUAGAUAUCGGGAGGAACACCAGUGGCGAAGGCGGCUUCCUGGACCGGUUCUGACACUGAUGAGCGAAAGCGUGGGGAGCGAUCCGG
rnacentral:rRNA from 1 species